CUGAGAUAUAUUUACCAACUUUUUAUUUUUAUUUUGUAAGAGUUUUUGACUUCUACCUCUUAAAUAUGCCUGGAUCUGUUGCCAGAUAGUACCUUUUUUCUUCCAAGUAAUCUAAGUUGUGGUUGGAUUACAAAACGCAAAACUAAAUAUAAAUAUAUAAAACAAAAUUAAAUGUUCCCUUGAUUUAAAUGAUUUUGAAUGAAAUAUGUUGAAUUUUGCAAAUAGGGAUGACUUAGCUCGGUUGGUAGAGCGGCCGUGCCAGCAACUUGAGGGUUGCAGGUUAAAUUCCCGCUCCGCCGUCCUAGUCACUGCCGUUGUGUCCUUGGGCAAGACACUUUACCCACCUGCUCCCAGUGCCACCCACACUGGUUUAAAUGUAACUUAGAUAUUGGGUUUCACUAUGUAAAGCGCUUUGAGUCACUAGAGAAAAGCGCUAUAUAAAUAUAAUUCACUUCACUUCACUUUACAUCCCAAAAUGUGGAGAUAGUGUACAUGCUUUUCCUUGGACUACCAUGUACUUUAUGUUGUAAUUGUUCAUGGGGAUUUUGAAUUGCUUAUUCACGUUUAAUGAAAAGCAUGUAUCGCCAGAUGUUGGAUUGCACAUAAAAAAUGUUAUUCGUAAUUUUAAAAGGAAAUUUUCAUACAAUUUGGAGAUACAUGCUGUUCAAUGGAUAGUGAAUAGCAUGGUUCUCCAAAUUGUAUGAAAAUUUCCUUUGUACAGUAUGUAUGUUCAUAUUAAAUUAAAUGUUAUUUGUAAUUUUAAAAGGAAAUUUUCAUACAAUUUGGAGAUACAUGCUGUUCAAUGGAUAGUGAAUAGCAUGUAUCUCCAAAUCGUAUGAAAAUUUCCUUUGUACAGUAUGUAUGUUCAUAUUAAAAGGUGUGCUGUUUUUGAUUAUUUUUCUGUACAAAAACAGUGUCAUUAAAACAAAAAAACAAACAAAUGCCA